GCCGGCAUAGCACAGUUGGUAGUGCGACUGACUUGUAAUCAGUAGGUCGGGGGUUCAAAUCCCUCUGUCGGCU
rnacentral:tRNA from 2 species